rnacentral:lncRNA from 1 species
GGAGAUGAUCCUAUUCACUUUUCGGAAGUGAGGACAAAACCAAAUAGGGAAAUGAGCCGCCGCAGGAAUGAAGAAGCCUGUAACAGCUAUUCCAAACCGGGAGAGCGUCCUGGGGCCAGGACUUCAUUGGGAUAAGAUGUUGAAUCUGGAACAAGAUAGAACAAGGCUGGACAUUUCCUGGAUUAUCCACGCCUACUCCUUAGAAACAAGCGUGAAGUCCCCACAAUGCGAGCAGGCCUCUCACCAGGUUGCCUGUGCUGUCUGCAGUGCGGUAUCUACCUCGAGUAGGAAGACGGCAGGAAAAAUCAAAGUGUCUUGAAAAUGCCAACACAUUAACCAGCUUGAAGCCAUACUCAAGUGCGAUAAUUCAUAUUCUGAUUUAUUAAUAUCCCAGUCAUAAACCCCAUGGCAAUAAAUACAUCUGUGCCUGUAAAAAGAGGGCACACUUGAAAAAUAACACAUGUCCAGGAAUAUCUUACUCAGCAAGCAGGCAGAGCCUGCUCUAAAUUGACGAACUUGGACACAGUGAAAACCAACAGCUGUCCCGCUUGGGAAACUAACAGUUGGGCUCCUUGGAAAAAAUACCUGAUUUAGAAUCUAACGAAUGUGUUUAUAAAGGACCCAUCUUCUUUUUUUUGUUUUUUGAGACAGAGUCUCGCUCUGCUGCCCAGGCUGGACUGCAAUGGCAAGAUCUCAGCUCACUGCAACCUCCGCCUCCUGGGUUCAAGCAAUUCUCCCACCUCAGCCUCCUGAGUAGCUGGGAUUACAGGCACCCGCCAUCAUGGCCAGGCUGGUCUUGAACCUCUGACCUCAGGUGAUCCGCCCACCUCGGCCUCCCAAAGUGCUGGGAUUAUAGGCGUGAGCCACCGCGCCCAGCCAAGGAUCCGUCUUCUCUAACAUUCGGCUUGAAGAGAGACCCCCCCACUACUUUACAGUGAUGCCUUCGGGAAGAACAGCCUUUUACCUCCCUAGGUUUUCUCCCCGCCUAGAGUUCUGUUUCUUACUACAUUACAUUUCCGCUCGCUUAGUGUUUUUCAACCCUCGAGCUCUCCUCAAACCGUUCCAUUGUUUAAGAUACUAACAAGGGGCUGCCCUGACCCAGGAGACAGUGUAAGUGUAGGGAUCAGGGAACAGAAGCAGGAACGCAAGACGCCGGAUACAAACGUGAACAUGCUGCAGGAUUCCACGUGCAUCAAAUUCUAGAAAAGCCAAAACCCACCCACAUAGGUUGCUUAGGAUGGGGUGGGGGGACUAAGAAGGGGCAUGAGAACCUUCUUUGGGUGAUGAAAAUGUCCUAUGUUGUUCUGCCUGAGGUCAUGCUGCAUUUGUCAAAAUUCAAAAACACUGAAAAUGAGUACAUUUUAUUGUAUAUAAAUGACACCUCAAUAAAAACGAAAGAUGUGAGCAACAUCCUGGGAAAAGAAAAUGUGAUUUCACCUUAAGUGCUUUAGCAGAAUUCUAUUAUAUGCCUCAGCUCUUACUCUUUCUUCUUUUUUGAGACAGAGUCUCGCUCUGUCACCCAGGCUGGAGUGCAGUGGCCACAAUCACAGCUCACUGCAGCCUCGACCUCCCAGGCUCUAAGAAUCCUCCCACCUUAGCCUCCUGAGUAGCUGAGAUUACAGGCAUGAGCCACUGUGCCCAGGAACUUACUCUUGCCUGUAAAAAUACAGCUCUGAAGUGAAGAAAUCCCAGGCGCCACAUCAAGGAGGCGAAACUAGAGUCCGCAGGAGGCCAGCCCCGCACGAGGAGUUUCAAACACUAAGGAUCCUGACAGGGAAAAGUUAUAUGAAGCAAGAAAGGCAAUUUAAAGCGAUAGUUUAUCAUAUGAAUGUUUCGUUCUUAAAAAUGAACAAGCUCUAUUUAUAAUGCCCAUUUAGAAAUGAAUCCAUUAAAAAAAAUCAGUAGAUCAGCACUUAUUUUAAUUACUGAGAUAGAGUCACACUUGACAGAAGCAAGCCCUGCGGUAUAUGGCAUCAUCACACCACCGGUGGUGUGGAGGUGAUUAAGAAAAUUAAUCCUAACAUGAAGAUUUU